GGAUUGGGAGGGUUCUACGGAACCCGUUUGGUGAAUCUAGUGCCGAGAAAAGCCUUCUAUGUGUUGAAUUUCUAGUACCCGUACCCCAAACCGACACAGGUGGGUGGGUAGAGCAUACCUAGGGGCGCGUGAUAACUCUCUCUAAGGAACUCGGCAAAAUGGCCCUGUAACUUCGGGAUAAGGGGUGCCUGCGUGAGCAGGCCGCAGUGAAAUGGCUCUGGCGACUGUUUACCAAAAACACAGGUCUCUGCUAAGUCGUAAGACGAUGUAUAGGGGCUGACUCCUGCCCAGUGCCGGAAGGUUAAGGAAGUUGGUUAGCGCAAGCGAAGCUGGCGACCGAAGCCCCGGUGAACGGCGGCCGUAACAAUAACGGUCCUAAGGUAGCGAAAUUCCUUGUCGGGUAAGUUCCGACCCGCACGAAAGGAGUAACGAUCAGAGCGCUGUCUCGGAGAGAGACACGGCGAAAUAGGAUUGUCCGUGAAGAUACGGACUACCUGCACCCGGACAGAAAGACCCUAUGAAGCUUUACUGUAACUUGGAAUUGUGUUCGGACUUUGUCUGCGCAGAAUAGGUGGGAGGCUAUGAAACGUUCCUCGCGGGGAACUGGAGCCAUCGUUGAGAUACCACUCUGGCAGAGUCUGGAUUCUAACCUACGGGGACAGUUCCAGGUGGGCAGUUUGACUGGGGCGGUCGCCUCCUAAAAUGUAACGGAGGCGCGCAAAGGUUCCCUCAGGCUGGUUGGAAAUCAGCCAUAGAGUGUAAAAGCAUAAGGGAGCUUGACUGUGAGACCUACAAGUCGAGCAGGGACGAAAGUCGGCUUUAGUGAUCCGACGGCACUGAGUGGAAGGGCCGUCGCUCAACGGAUAAAAGUUACUCUAGGAUAACAGGCUGAUCUCCCCCAAGAGUUCACAUCGACGGGGAGGUUUGGCACCUCGAUGUCGGCUCGUCGCAACCUGGGGCGGUAGUACGUCCCAAGGGUUGGGCUGUUCGCCCAUUAAAGCGGCACGUGAGCUGGGUUCAGAACGUCGUGAGACAGUUCGGUCCAUAUCCGGUGUAGGCGUAGGAGCAUUGAAAGGAUCUCUCCUUAGUACGAGAGGACCGGGAGGGACGUACCUCUGGUGUACCUGUUAUCGUGCCAACGGUAAACGCAGGGUAGCCAUGUACGGAGUGGAUAACCGCUGAAAGCAUCUAAGUGGGAAGCCCACCUUAAGAUGAGUGCUCCCUUGAGGCCACGGGAAGACGACCCGUUUGAUAGGCGCUAGGUGGAAGUGCAGUAAUGCAUGCAGCCGAGGCGUACUAAUAGGCCGAUGGCUUGU
rnacentral:rRNA from 1 species